rnacentral:rRNA from 1 species
AAGGCUUUGACGGGUAGCCGGGCCUGAGAGGGUGACCGGUCACAUUGGGACUGAGAUACGGCCCAGACUCCUACGGGAGGCAGCAGUGGGGAAUAUUGCACAAUGGGCGCAAGCCUGAUGCAGCAACGCCGCGUGAGUGAUGAAGGGUUUCGGCUCGUAAAACUCUGUUGUUAAGGAAGAAUACUUGAGGUAGUAACUGGCCUUGAGAUGACGGUACUUAACCAGAAAGCCACGGCUAACUACGUGCCAGCAGCCGCGGUAAUACGUAGGUGGCAAGCGUUAUCCGGAAUUAUUGGGCGUAAAGCGCGCGUAGGCGGUAAAAUAAGUCUGAUGUGAAAGCCCCCGGCUCAACCGGGGAGGGUCAUUGGAAACUGUUUUACUUGAGUACAGAAGAGGAGAGUGGAAUUCCAUGUGUAGCGGUGAAAUGCG